AACGAACGCUGGCGGCAGGCUUAACACAUGCAAGUCGAACGCCCCGCAAGGGGAGUGGCAGACGGGUGAGUAACGCGUGGGAAUCUACCCAGAUCUACGGAACAACAGUUGGAAAUGACUGCUAAUACCGUAUACGCCCUACGGGGGAAAGAUUUAUCGGAUUUGGAUGAGCCCGCGUAAGAUUAGCUAGUUGGUGGGGUAAUGGCCUACCAAGGCGACGAUCUUUAGCUGGUCUGAGAGGAUGAUCAGCCACACUGGGACUGAGACACGGCCCAGACUCCUACGGGAGGCAGCAGUGGGGAAUAUUGGACAAUGGGCGCAAGCCUGAUCCAGCCAUGCCGCGUGAGUGAUGAAGGCCUUAGGGUUGUAAAGCUCUUUCAGUAGGGAAGAUAAUGACGGUACCUACAGAAGAAGCCCCGGCUAACUUCGUGCCAGCCGCCGCGGUAA
rnacentral:rRNA from 1 species